CAGCCAUUUCAGAACAUCUGACUUUCUGGAGACAGAGAACAUAAUGCCUGUGACACUGAGUAGAAGGAAAACCGCUCAAUUUUAUACAUCUCAUACAUUUCAAACCCAAGGCGACAGCAAGAGGAAGAGGCACCAGAUCUGGGCUACAAAAACCAGGACGAUGACCAGCAGAUGACAAAAGAGAGACACAAAAGCUACCCAGGUUGGGAAUUUUGCAAACCAGAUCUCGAGGAUUCACUUCAAGAGAGAUUCACACAACGUACAAGGCUUCUAAUCAAUGUGGCAAUUGCUUUGUUCUGCUUGGCCAUAGAAAUCUCUGGGCAUGGUUCUAUGUGCUGCACACGGAGAAGGCAGCUGUUCACAAGUUUCUGAACUCACUUCCAAAGCUGACAGCUCGUGACGAAAAAUGAGAACCAAACUAUGACAUCACUGCAAGCUGUUUUCAACCAAAACAUCAGGAGGAAAAGUCAAUGCAACAAGAGGAAGCAUCUCCAUGUUUCUCAAACAUCCAGUUCUACUUAUUAAAGUCCAUAGUUCAAGAGCCACAAGGCACACAAAAUGGAAAUGAGAGCGCUUGAAGAGGCAAAGAGACAUGGAUUUCAAUGUAGUCCAGUAAACGUUGUGUGUUGAGUGAUCAGAAACGAAGAAGUAUGCCUUCAGGAGUUUGUUUGUAGCUACACAUUAUUCCAAGUGUAUUAUAGCUGAAAUGACAUUUUGUCAAAGUUCAGCAUCUGAAUUUCAAAAUAAAUGUCCAGACAGCAAUAUUGAAAACCUUGGUGAAAGUGAGGCAGGCUGAGGAGAAUCAAUAAAUCCUGAAUACAACAUUUAUUUAAAUGUGCAAAUAUGAUACAACCUUGUGCAAAUAUGUUACAGUUAGUAAAAUAGUUUUAGCUCUUUUUCUUAUCU